AAGGACUGGGGCCAGAGCGCAAUGUGAAGGCCCUGGGUUCAAUCCCCAGUAGCAAAAAAAAAAGACAUGAAGCAUGGAUUUAGGCCGCAAUCCAGCCUUCUUCUGGGUAUAGAACCAAAAGAAUUGCAAGCAGGAACUCGAAGAGACGUUGCACACCCACGUUGAGGCAGCAUGAUUCACAGCAGCAGGAAGGUGGAGGAACCCACGCACCUGGGACGGAGCAGCCCCGGGUGCAGCAAAUGGAAGGUGCAGCGGAAGGAAGGGAUUGCGGUACAGACGUGCUGCCACAGGCGUGGACGCUAGGUGACCUCAGCCAGUGGCGGAAGGACAAAUACACUUCCGGCCCUUUCCAGGCGCCUGGAGGAGUCGAGUCCCAGGCACUGACAGGCAGCGCGGGGUAACCGGGCCAGCGUGGUCAGGGCGUCAGUGUGCAGCAGACGGCAGCCAGGGCUACACAGCAGCGUGAGAGUGCUUUACACUCAUCUGCGCGCCAGCCCGAAAGCACUCCAUCCGCAGAUGGUCGCUGUGAACAAAUCAGACACCAAACAGCGCUUUGAGGCCCAACAAGCAUGAGAUCAAAUAUGACAGCCGUGGGCACACCGAAGGAGAGAAGCCUCAACCCACCAAGCUGCUUCUUCAAAUAAGCCUUGGGGCACAGCCCACCCUGGCCACCAGCACCUUGGAACUGCUGAGGCAGCAAAGGUGACUCAGACAGGAGUGGAAACUGCACGCUGCUCUGGAAUCCCCGCCUGGGGAGCCCCAGACCCCAUGGGGCAGGAGGGAGCUGCAGGGCCAGGAAAAGGGAAUCGGGGCGCCCUGGAGUCCCUUCCUCCCCAAGAUGCCUCC
rnacentral:lncRNA from 1 species